rnacentral:rRNA from 1 species
CCUACGGGUGGCAGCAGUGGGGAAUAUUGCACAAUGGGGGAAACCCUGAUGCAGCGACGCCGCGUGAAGGAAGAAGUAUUUCGGUAUGUAAACUUCUAUCAGCAGGGAAGAAACUGACGGUACCUGACUAAGAAGCACCGGCUAAAUACGUGCCAGCAGCCGCGGUAAUACGUAUGGUGCAAGCGUUAUCCGGAUUUACUGGGUGUAAAGGGAGCGUAGACGGAGAGGCAAGUCUGAAGUGAAAGCCCGGGGCUCAACCCCGGGACUGCUUUGGAAACUGCAGUUCUAGAGUGCCGGAGAGGUAAGCGGAAUUCCUAGUGUAGCGGUGAAAUGCGUAGAUAUUAGGAGGAACACCAGUGGCGAAGGCGGCUUACUGGACGGUGACUGACGUUGAGGCUCGAAAGCGUGGGGAGCAAACAGGAUUAGAUACCCCAGUAGUC